GUACAAAUAAAGGAGAAGAAUAUAACCUGGACCUGGGGGCCAGAAAAGGCUUCCCUGAGUAAGUGAUGCCUGAUGGGUUAAGAGGAAUCCCUGGUUACUACUCCAGCUGAGAGCCUGGACUAGGAUGGUGCCAGUGGACAUGGAGAGAAGGAGUUCAGAUGUAUAGGAGAUAAGAACAACAGACUUUGGUGAUGGGUAGAUGCAGGCUGAGGAAGGUGUCAAAGUUGACU
rnacentral:lncRNA from 1 species